rnacentral:lncRNA from 10 species
CAGCUUGCCUAAGAUCACACACUUGUAGGAGGCAGAGCUGGGAUUCUUACUGUAAAGGCAACCAGUUUAGCCACUGUGCUAUUCUGCCUACAUGCAAAUAAUGAAUGAACAGAGAGACACUCACACCUACAAACAGAAGCAAGAGGAACCUAAUACUCUUCCUCAUUGGCCUUCCUGUCUCCAUCUUUAUUCCUUCCAGCUCAUUCUCUACAUGACACUGUGAAUGCCAAACUGUCUGGAGGCUGCCAUGAGCGGCCAAUUUGUGAUCUCUGCUUUACCUGAAUUAUUUCCGUGAAUUGUGACAUCAACCUCGCCAGGUAGGUACUAUUAUUCUCCACACUGACACAAGGAAACUGAGGUUCAGAAAGGUGAAGUGACUCGCCAUAGUCACACAGCUAGGAGGGGGCAGAGCCAGAAUUCAAACCCAGCUCUGCUUGAUACCAAAGACUGUAAUCUUUCUCUUUUUUUUUUUUUUUUUUUUUGAGACAGAGUUUACUCUUAGAGUAAGAGUCUGUCCAUGAGUUUACUCUGUCACCCUGGCUGCAGUGCAAUGGUGAGAUCUCGGCUCACUGCAACCUCCGUCUCCCGGAUUCUACAAAUUCUCCUGCCUUGGCUUCCCAAGUAGCUGGGAUCACAGGCACAUGCAACCACGAAUGGCUAAUUUUUUGUAGUAGAGAUGGGGUUUCGCCAUGUUGGCCAAGCUGGUCUCGAACCCCUGACCUCAGGUGAUCCGCCCAUCUUGGCCUCCCAAAGUGCUGGGAUUACAGGAGUGAGCCACCACACCCGGUAAAAAAACUGUGAUCUUUCUGGGGGUGGAGUGAGACCCUGGAUGCCUAGGCCAGCCCCUUUUUAUGCUCCACUCUGUCCAGCAUCUUGGAGUUCGGUGGCAGACCCUGGGGUCCUGGAGCAGCUAUCUCCAACUUUCUUUUUUAUUAUUUAUUUAUUUAUUUAUUUAUUUAUUUAUUUAUUUAAUGAGACAGAGUCUUGCUCUCCCCCAAGCUGGAGAGCAGUGGCAUGAUCUCGGCUCACUGCAACCUCCGCCUCCCAGGUUCAAGCGAUUCUCCUGCCUCAGCCUCCCAAGUAGCUGGGACCAGCUCCAGGGCCACCACAUCUGGCUAAUUUUUUGUAUUUUUAGUAGAGACAGGGUUUCACCAUGUUAGCCAGGAUGGUCUUGAUAUCCUGUCCUCGUGAUCUGCCUGCCUCGGCCUCUCAAAGUGCUGGGAUUUGUCACCAACUUUCUGUUAAACAUUAUAGCUGAUCUUGGUAUGUCCUUAUCUGUGGCUUGGCUCUGCUACUUCCCUCCUGUGUGACUUUGGGCUGCUUAACCUUAAUGUGCCUGUUGCCUCAUCUCAGCUGCAAAAUGGGCUUAAAAGUAGUGCCUACAUUGAGGUGCUGGGGAUGGUGCCAGGCAUUCAUUCGAUAACUAAUAAAUGUUAGUUCUCGUGAUUACCAGUAGACGUGUAUGCCUGUGUGCACUGACAGGAAGAAGCUAUAGAAAAACCACUUAAAUAGUUAUAUUAGGAAGAAGAUGUCAUUUUUUUUUCUUUUUUUGAGAUGGAGUUUCACUCUUGUCACCCAGAUUGGAGUGCAAUGUCACGGGAUCUCAGCUCACUGCAAACUCUGCCUCCCGGGUUCAAGCGAUUCUCCUGCCUCAGCCUCCCAAGUAGCUGAGAUUACUGGCAUGUGCCACCACGCCCAGCUAAUUUUUUUGUAUUAUUAGUAGAGAUGGGGUUUCACCAUGUUGGCCAGGAUAGUCUCAAACUCCUGACAUCGGGUGAUCCACCCGCCUCGGCCUCCCAAAGUGCUGGGAUUAUAGGAGUGAGCCACCACACCCGGCUGAAGAUGUCGUUCUUCACAUUUCUUUCAAUGCCAUUGUUACAACUUUUAAAAAUGUUCACUGUCUCCCAUGACUCCCCUUCAUUAUGUGGAGAAUAAAGUCCAGAUUCCUUAACCCACAUCUAAGGCCCUCUCUGAUUCAUCAACCCACACUUCAAUCGUGGAAAGUGGCUAAGAACCCAUGGAGGCAGGCUGCCGUGGCUUGAGUCCCAGCUCUGCAGCUUUCCUGGCUGUGUGAGCUUGGGUAAGGAAGUUUACCCCUCUGGGCCUGGGUUUUCUCAGCUGUAAAAUACAGAAAGUAACAGCACUCACAUGACAGGCUGAGGCGACGUGACUGUAAAUAGCCUGGCACAGUGUCCCUCGUGUGGAGAAGGUGAAGCAACAGCCAUGAUCAUUAUCCACCUACUCCUCUGAGACCUCUGGUCACCCUGGAACAUCCGCCGGCCCCAGAACAUAGCAGGCCUGGCACUGUCCCACCCCAAGGUGUUUGCACGCGCCCUGCUCUCACCCAGCACACCUUCCCCUAUCCAUCCACCCAUCAAAGCACCCCGGGCCAAGGCCCAGCUCCAGGGGCAUCCCCUCUGACUUCCUGUCCCCACCAGUCCCCCUCGGGCCUUUGUGCAGGCCGGUACACUUACACACCUCACCCCCAUCAACUCUGUCCCUCCUGCCGCGUCACACCCUUCCUGAGGAUGUGGGAAGCUGGGCCUGGCUCUGAGUUCCAGCCCUGAGAUCCAACACAGAUGCCUGAGGGACCUGCCAGCCUUCAAAACAAUUCAGUCAUCAAAUGGAGUCCAACAGCCCAGAAGGGUGGCUGUGAAGAUAAACAGGAAAACACUAGUCAAGGCCCUUUUCUCCUUCCCGCCUCCUCAUGAGCCCGGUCCACCUCCCACCGGGACCAGCUGAGAGGUAGGAGGAAGCACUGGACGCGGUGACAUUGAUGGCCUCCAGAUGCCGACACGAGAGGGAUUUCUGAUCUUGUUUACAACGGAUUUGGAGGUGGCUAACUAUCCUGAAUUCCCACAAAUAAGAAAGAAGACUGAAGUUCAGAGAGGUGAAGGGACUGGCUCAGGGGCUACCCCUAUGGUUGCGGGAGCUAAGAUUCCAGCCCAGCAGCGUGAUCCAGAGCCCAUCUGAGCUACCCAGAUCUUCCUGCUGUUAAACCCGUCCUGGGGCAGCUCUUGCCUGAUGGGCUACCUGAGGAACCCACAGGAAAUCAAGGGAGGUGCCUGCAAAGUUGCCGUGGGGUCACAGCCUGCCCUUUGGAAGGGGCUGUUUCUGGGCUGCUGUGACUUCCUGCCAUUAUUUCCUCUCUGUUCUCCCUCUGGAAUGAAUAAAGUACUUCUGAAAAACCAUCAACCCAGUCGAUACGGAAAUGCUGGUCCCUACAAUAGAAUGCUCUGUGGUCAUUAAAAAGAUUAAAAAGGUCAA